GGGCGAGUGGCGGAACCGGCAGACGCACGGGACUUAAAAUCCCGAGGGGCCUAUGGCCCCGUGGGGGUUCGACUCCCCCCUCGCCCACCA
rnacentral:tRNA from 1 species